rnacentral:lncRNA from 1 species
AGUUGUGUUGACUCAUAAAUCUUGCCCCAGCUUCUCUGUGUUUUGAGAAGCUUACUUGUCAGAGGCUGUGAUUUUUUUGUUUGUUUAUUUUGUUGUGACUGCAGAACCAUAUUGGAAAGGCAUGUCUCUCUGAAUGAAGAUGUCAAAACAACGAAUGAACUUGGAAGCAUUGGAUCAAAUCUUCAGUCUCUCAGAUCAAAAGUUUGCUGAGUUUCUUUGUGAGCAUGAAAACUCCUAAUCCACACACUCAAGAAACUUGCAUUAGGAUUCUUCUCUUUCCAUUGUUUCUGAUCUGUCUCGACAAAUCCAAAAGGUAAGUGAUAAAUAAUAUAGUUCUGUUUAGACAUCCCUUGAAUUUAAUGGACACUGUGGAGUAUAAAAGUAGUUGAACCAGGCUCAAAAACAUGUUGGAUGAUUUUUUUUCAAC